GACUGGGUGGCUCAGUAGGUUAAGCAUCUGACUUCAGCUCAGGUCGUGAACUCGCAGUUUGUGGGUUCGAGCCCCAUGUCAGGCU
rnacentral:tRNA from 1 species